rnacentral:rRNA from 1 species
UACAGAGGUCUCAAGCGUUGUUCGGAUUCAUUGGGCGUAAAGGGUGCGUAGGCGGCGCGGUAAGUCGGGUGUGAAAGUCUCGGAGCUUAACUCCGAAACUGCAUUCGAUACUGCCGUGCUUGAGGACUGGAGAGGAGACUGGAAUUUACGGUGUAGCGGUGAAAUGCGUAGAUAUCAGGAAGAACACCCGUGGCGAAGGCGGCUCUCUGGUACGUGACUGACGCUGAGACGCGAAAGCGUGGGGAGCGAACAGG